CCUACGGGGGGCAGCAGUGGGGAAUCUUGCACAAUGGGGGAAACCCUGAUGCAGCAACGCCGCGUGAAGGAAGACGGUUUUCGGAUUGUAAACUUCUGUUCUUAGUGAAGAAGAAUGACGGUAGCUAAGGAGCAAGCCACGGCUAACUACGUGCCAGCAGCCGCGGUAAUACGUAGGUGGCAAGCGUUAUCCGGAUUUACUGGGCGUAAAGGGAGCGUAGACGGCAGCACAAGUCUGGAGUGAAAUCCCGGGGCUUAACCCCGGAACGGCUUUGGAAACUGUGCGGCUGGAGUGCAGGAGGGGUAAGCGGAAUGCCUAGUGUAGCGGUGAAAUGCGUAGAUAUUAGGAGGAACACCGGUGGCGAAGGCGGCUUACUGGACUGUAACUGACGUUGAGGCUCGAAAGCGUGGGGAGCAAACAGGAUUAGAUACCCUGGUAGUC
rnacentral:rRNA from 1 species